rnacentral:pre_miRNA from 1 species
ACAUACUUCUUUAUAUGCCCAUAUGAACCUCACAAGCUAUGGAAUGUAAAGAAGUAUGUAU